UUUCUGUUCACGAACAGGAGUAUGGAUUAG
rnacentral:piRNA from 1 species